UACGGAGGGUGCAAGCGUUGUCCGGAUUUAUUGGGUUUAAAGGGUGCGUAGGCGGCCCGUUAAGUCAGCGGUGAAAUCCCGGGGCUCAACCCCGGAACUGCCGUUGAUACUGGUGGGCUUGAGUAUGGACGAGGUUGGCGGAAUUGAGGGUGUAGCGGUGAAAUGCUUAGAUACCCUCAAGAACACCGAUUGCGUAGGCAGCUAACUAGGCCAUAACUGACGCUGAGGCACGAAAGCGUGGGGAGCGAACAGG
rnacentral:rRNA from 1 species